UAGCUCAGUGGCAUAAGCUCCUGCCUUGCAAGCAGGCAGUCUCGAGUUCGAUUCCCGG
rnacentral:tRNA from 1 species